rnacentral:lncRNA from 1 species
UUGGAAGUAGAUUUUUCUCUCUUUCUUUGGAUCCUUCUCUUGCACUGUGUAUGUGUGUGUUUCUUGAGCUAUUUCGGGGAAAGGGUCAGUGAGAUUUCUGCAUGUAAAGCUGGAAUCUUGAUUUUGGGUUAGUGUCAAAUGUAUGAAAUGGUUGUGUGUUUUGAGGUAUAUUGAGUAAUGGCUCAGUGAGUUUUUCUGCAUAUAAAGCUGGAAUCUUGAUUUUGGGUUAGUGUCAAAUGUAUGAAAACACCCAUUGAACUGAGUGUGUGUAUGUGUUUUUUGAGCUGUAUUGGGUAAUGGGUCAGUGAGUUUUUCUGCAUAUAAAGCUGGAAUCUUGAUUUUGGGUUAGUCUCAAAUGUAUGAAAACACCCAUUGAAGUGUGUGUGUGUAUGUAUUUUUUGAGCUGUAUUCGUUAAUGGGUCAGUGAGUUUUUCUGCAUAUAAAGCUAGAAUCUUGAUUUUGGGUUAGUGUCAAAUUUAUCAAAACACCCAUUGAAGUGUGUGUAUAUGUGUUUUCAGAGCUGUAUUGGGUAAUGGGUUUGUGAGCUUUUCUGCAUAUAAAGCUGGAAUCUUGAUUUUUAAUUAGAGUCAAAUGUAUGAAAACACCCAUUGAAGUGUGUGUGUAUGUGUUUUUUGAGCUGUAUUGGGUAAUGGAUCAGUGAGUUAUCUGCAUAUAAAGCUGGAAUCUUGAUUUUUUUGAUUUGGGGUUAGUGUCAGUGUAUGAAAACAAUCAUUAGAGUGUGUGUAUGUGUGUGUGUUUUGGAGCUAUAUUGAGUAAUGGGUCAGCGAGUUUUCCUGUAUUUAAAGUUGGAAUCUUGAUUUUGUUGAGUGACAUUUUGAUUUGGGUUAGUGUCAAAUGUGUGAAAAUAUCCAUUAGAGUGUCUGUGUGUGUGUUUUGAGCUAUUUUGAGUAAUGGGCCAGUGAGUUUUUCUUUAUGUAAAGCUGGAAUCUUGAUUUUGUUGAGUGACAUUUUGAUUUGGGUUAGUGUCAAAUGUAUGGAAAAAACCAUUAAAGUGAAGUUUUCAUGAGCUUUUUGGGUUAAUCUUUUUGUUUUUACAGACCCUUUUACUCUCUUGGUCUGGAAAGGGGAGUUUUGUGUUUUCUUUGUGUAAAAGAGGUUUCUUGAUGAUGAAAACUGUGAGAUUUUAC